UCGAAUUUCAACUGCCACAUUAAAUAUUUAAAUAUAUAUUUGCAAGAAUUAGCUGAUUAAUUAAUGCAAUAUUCGAAACUCCUCGAGGGUAUGUUUGGAAUUGUGACUGCAUGAUAAAUCGUUCGGCUCGAAACCCCAACCCUCCUCUUCUGUUCAGCCAGUGCUGCAUUUAUUCGAAGCGCGGGAGAGUAAACAGAUGCACGCAGCGGCGGCGAACGAGAGGUUUUGAUCCGUCGGAAUAGAUGGUGGCGGCAUACGGAGCGAUGAAACCGACUGAAUUGGGCCUGGAAGAGCCCCAAGAGCAGCUCCACCGCAUCCGGAUCACCCUCUCCUCCAGGCUCCAAGAACGUCAUGAAUCUCGAGAACGGUGCAUCAUGUCUAUCACAUCACUUGGAUCUGGUUCUCUUCUUCUUAUUUCCUUAUUUCGAAUUGGUUGUCCAGUAUGUGCGGAUCUGUAGAGGUGAGCGAAGGACAAGCGGCUGACGGUCAAGGUUGCCCACCAAGGAUAUUCCAAUGAUCAUUGCUUAUCAGUGUCCGAUUUGGACUUGACUUUGAAGAUUAUAACAAUCAUAAGAAGGAUCCCUGGAGUACUGGAGCAGAGCUUUCACCUUCUUUGAGAAAAAUGAAACUUUCAAAUGACCAGGUUUUAAAGUUUACUGUCCUCUUUGGAUCUAUGUUUAAUGAGGUUUCCGGUUUUCUGACUUCAUACUGUUGGUCUGGUUAAUUUGCAUGGUGGUAUUGCUUGGAUUGGCAAAGGCAUGUUAUCUUAUGGGUUUGCUUUAGACAUGUUAUUUUGUAAUUGGAGUCAUGCCAGUAUCAUGUUGAUACAGUUGAAUCCACUAAUGCUCAUAAUUUGAUCUGUUUCCAAGUAUAUCAUCAUGUUAUCUUAGUCUGCAACUUUUCUGGAACUUGAUGGUGAUCUUUAAUCGCAUGAACCAACACAUGAAAUCGGUUUGAGCUCCGUGUACCCCAGAGUAAUUGAUCUUGCCAGCUCUUCCGAGCUGGUGAAGCAGAUCGCCUGGAUCAGCAUCGAACCUGGCUUGGACGUCGAAGUGACAAUUGCAGAACCAUAAGUUUAUCUUGAUCUGUUAAUCCAAGCAUCGCAUGUCAUUAUACAAUCUUCUAAAUGGCCUAUUUUACAUUCAGAUUUUUCUUGAUUUCUACGGACUUACCUCAUGCCUUGAUUCGCCAAGCAACUGUUUGUGACAAUACUCAAAAGAAGCUAGCACAAAAGAAAUCGUGUGAUUGGUUAUCCGAUGACAUUUACAAAUAGCAAUGCUCCUUUCUCAUGUCAUCCUCUUCCAAGACGCCGGACCAGUUGGCCCGCCAUGUUUCGUCGCCUUCUGCUCCUAAAAGGCAGCGAGAGUACCGAAGGGGCAAACCCGAUCGCCAAAUUUCCCGCUGCUUAAGCAUCGUUAGGACUGCAACGUGGCCUACGGCGACGCGCGUUCGUACUGGGAGUCGGCAUGUGCUGCGGGAUCCAUAUCCAUCGCUACUCUUCUCGCGGAUGAUCGCCCAUCAGAAAGACAGACUAUUUGAUGCGAGGGGGGCCGGUCCCGAAGAAAUAUCCCGCCUGUGCAAUCGAUGGCACGCGGUGGGGGUCAUAAUUUACCUCUCUGCUGGUCCACCACGAGAGAGCCGAGGAGGCCCACCACCUGUUCGACGAUUUGAUUGUUGAACACGCACGGCCCCGCGGUAAAAAACCAGGAAGGUAUGUAUUAUUACGCCAUAUCCAUUCGUUGAUAUCUGCAUAGUUAAUUGUUGAUGGAAGACAUUUUUACAUUGUAGUCAAGUAAGCCGAAUGGAUUAAGGUUAACA